rnacentral:tRNA from 1 species
AUUUAUAUAAUAUAACUAUUAUAUCUAGCUUCCAAUUAGAAAAUCUAACACUUAGUAUAAAUA